rnacentral:misc_RNA from 1 species
AGUUGACUGGUUGUGGUGUAGGUGAAUCAUAAGCGCCAUAACCCCCAAGCCUCGUCUGCGAAGGUGGUGCAGGCGUCUAUAGUGUUUUCCCUGCAAGCUGAGGUGGCUGAGGUGCAGAGCGACGCCCCUUGACAAUGCCAGACAAGAAGCUUUGAUACGAAUAUUGGGCUCAGACAUGAAGAAAUGGUCUUGAGAAGCAUUUGUAUUGGUCUUUGCUCUCUAAUAGGUUUAUAUGGAGUUUUUGGUCAAGAGUUCGUGAUAAAAGAUGAAAAAACAGAAUUUGUCAACAUGUAUGAAAAUGUGACCCUACCUUGCCCCCACAGUCAGAAAAAGACAAUGUGGCAUAACAUAGGAAAGCCUCGAGGAGAAACAGUGUUAUCCAACGGGUCACUUUUCAUCAGUAAUGUGACGGAACUCAACUCAGGACUCUACAUUUGUAUUGGGCAGCAGGAUGACUCCGUGAUCUACUCUGUCCGUCUGGUUGUUGGAGUGCCCCCUGAUCCCCCGGAAAAUGUGACUGUCCGAGCUUUGACCAUCUGUGUGGUGGUGACAUGGCACCUACGUCUGGAUCCCCAGUGGGAGGAGGAUCCCUCAGGGCCACGCACCACAUUCCACCUGCAGUACCAACCAGAAGACUCCCCCACCUGGCGAAAACUUCCCUCACACAUCAGUCCAACACAGGGUCAGGUGGAUGUGUGCAACCUGAGUCCCAAUACCACCUAUGAGUUCCAGUUGUGGACUUCCAACAGAUUUGGCAAAAGUGAAACAGUGUCAUUUGUUGCCACAACUCUCCCUUCAUUCUCAGAAGUUGAGCAGGCCAAGAGGCUGGAGGGCUUGCUGCAGGACUUCAACCCACUGGUUUGGGUGGUAGCAGUAGUGAUAGUAAUGGUGGCUACUAAUGUGCUGGGUGGCCUCCUACUCCUUGCUUAUUACUUCCAGCACAGAGUUAAAAGAUCAGGUGACUCAGAAGAUACAGAAAAGAUCGAGCUUGUUCCGCACAUCAUUGAGAAUCCUGGCUAUCAGAUGAAUGGCUCAUGCAGCUUGGAAACCAUUCAUGAGUCCCUCCUUUCAUCUUCAUCAAGUUGCCAGGGUGCUGCUGCCAUGUUGUAGGUGUGAGCCAAGCAGAGAGGUGUGCUGACUCAAUAACUUAUAAAGGUGAGGCAUUAAGCUGAGGUGUGUAGCCAAGAAUGUGUAUGACCAUGGAAGGUUUUCUUCUGAUAAGUGUAUUUGUAAUUUAAGAUGAGAGUGAGUGAUGGAUAGUACUGAGAAAGGAUGCAUGAAAGUGAUAAGAUAGGAAGAUAAGUCAUUACUAAAAGUUUUAUCAUUUCUAUAUUUCCCUUUUUAUUAGAUAUUUAAGUAUCUCUUUGCAGUAUUUUCUUUCUCUCCCUGAUAUUUAUAGCUUUAUUUAUGUAUUUAUUUAUUUAUCUAUUUAUUUAUUCUGUACAACAAAGAAAGUAAACUACUAAAGAGAACCAGUUGGUGCUUUGAGUUGGUAAUGGAAUGCAGGAUGGCUCAUGUCUGCUGCAAAAAAAGGAAAAAAUAAAGAUAGAAAGAAAAAAUAUAUAUAUGAACUUUUAAAAAUCAUUCUGCCAAAGGUGUUGUUUUCAUAUAAUGAUACAAGGGUUUUUUUUAUAUGCAAGGCUGAAAACUUUAAUAUAUUUUCAUGUAUGUAAUGUAUAUAUCAUUUAGUUGUAAGAGUCAUUUAUAAAGUUGGAUAUAAUUUCCAUGACAGGGUGAGCCAGGGUUUGGUAUGCUGGCCCACUGGGUAUGUCUGUGCUGAUGGGGGGGGUUUGGUGUCUUGUGGAACAGGUUUCUCUCUUCAAUGACUUAGGCUUUGUACGAGGCUUCUAUUGGUGGAUUGCAAAGGGAAGCAAAUAUUUUUAUGAAUCGAAUAGGUAGGUUAUUUCCAUUUAUUUGUUUGAUGGAUCUGGUCAUUUGAUAUUUAAGUGUAACUGAAUUGUCAGUCUUAAUGGUAAAUGUUUGUUGGGUAAUUGUUGUGGUCAUUGUUUUGUUAGUGUUGGAUCACUUCAACCAUUUAAUGCUUCAUUUUAUAUUGUUAUUAUUCUUUUAUAAGAUGCACAAAAUAUGUGUUGUAACAAAUGUACAUUUCAACUGCUGAAUUUGUGAAUGAUUAUUUUACUCUAUUACUGGUAUUGGAAACUUGUGAGCUUUAUCUAAAGUAAUCUCAGCUUACCACAUAGAUAGUUGCCUACAUGUAGUCAUGAUGUAAUAGUUAAUGCACUGUCAUGUUUAUAUUGUGAAAAAAAAAGACAGUAGUAUGCUAACAAGGAAUUGUGGGCCUUCCCUUGCAUCGUGUGACAAAAAAGCUCAUUACUUCAAAGAAACCUAUAGUCUACUCAAAAUGAAGUGUUCAUUUAGCACCUUGACUGUGUGCUUCUGAUUGGCUGGAUUCUUUUUGUUCCUCUUGUGGAGGUUGGGUGCAACUCACAUUGGUAAGAUAUGUUCCUACUAUUUGCCUUAGCUUACCUCUUGUAUAAGACAUGCCAUUGUUUUGACAUCAUAAGAGAGAACAGUGACUGUAAGACUCUAAUGUGAUUGUCAACACUCAGUAACACAAAACAUGAAUGACAACCAUAAAAGGUUGUAUUUAUAGUUUUGUAUUUUAUUUGUUAUAUAACAUUGUGUAUGCAAUAUUUAUUGAAUCAAUGCUGGAAUUACUGAAUUUGCUUUGUAAAGAAAAGUUCAGUAAAUACAGUAGUGUAACCAGAUCACAGAUAGAGACAAAAUGUAAGCAAAACAUUUAAACAUUUCAUAAUAGCAUGUGGCAUUACUCUUCAGUAUUCCUGAAGUGAACAUGCUGCAGCUAACAUAGCAUAUGUAUACCAAUAUGUAGUGAUGCUUAAAAUGAUAUGUAUGAGAAUGAGGGAAGUAUCCAGCCAUCAAGGAGACACUUGACAUCAGAUGAACUCUUCAUUUGAACAGACCACAGUUUGACCUUGAGCUGUGAAGGAAAGAUUGUUUGUGUCGCUGUAUGUCAAGGCUGUAUUUAUAUAAUGGAUUCUCAUUGUGUAAUUUGUGCAUCUCAAGUAAUGGAGACUAUAUUAAAAAUUAUCUAUCUAUUUGACAAAAAGGAUGUGAUGAGGAGGAAGGUAACUGAGAAUCUCACGUUUCUUCUGGAAAUAUGCCGAAGAAUUGUAGUUUGGUUAUUCAUGUUAAAAAUCUUAUAAUGCAGAAGUGUACCUUUGUAAUGUGUAUAGCUGACAGACAUCAGCCGCUGACUUAGAUUCUGAGCUAGUCAGUACCUAUUUAUCCAUUGAUAGUCAUUUGAUUUGUCAUCUAUUCAAUGUAUCAGGUUUCUGUUGAAUUUAAGAAAUGUUUCAUUGUACUCAUCUGUUUUAUGUGAAGUUAUUUUAAUUCCACUUCCAAGUCCUUCCCCUCAUAAGUUAACAAGCAGUUUUUAUCUGAAAUUAUACCACAUAAUGAUAUUAAUUUUCUGUAUUAUAAGCUUCAUAUAUCUAUCUAGUUUUUAGAUAAGUGAACCUCACUCAUUCAUAAGUGGAUCUCUUUGUAUUCAGUAAACAAACCAUGUCACUAAUAUCAUUGUCAUCACCACCACCACUUUCACAAAUAUUAUUGUCAUCAGAUCUCAGUCUCAGGCAAUGUGAAUGGAAAACUGUAAUGGGGAGUCUUAAGAUCAUAGUGAAGCACUAUGACAGUGCUGGUCCAGUAUUGGUUUACUGGAAUAAAAUUCAUUGCAUUAAAUCUUUGCAGUAGAGAAUAGAAUGGAAUCAGAUGUACCAUCUCUGGUAUGUUGUUGAUGCCACUAUAUAUGGCAGAAUAUUUCCACAAAUCAAAACCAGUGAAGAUUUAGGAAUGUUAGUUAAAAGAAUGGUGCACAUAGUGGCCCAGCAAGCAACAGCCCAACAAGCCUCACUAAGACAACAUUAUUUGUCUCAUGGUUUUGUUCCAGAACAGUUUUUUGGUGCUUUAAUGUAGUUGGACCUUACACUUAUCAAGUAUUAAGGGCCUCUCAGAAAAUGUUAUUUGAUGCAAAGUUAUUGGUUGCAAAUAUGAGUACAUAAACAUUUGACAAUAAUUAUGAUGGUAAUUGAAAUAGAUUUGAACCUCUUAUGUGGAUAGCUCACUUGCAAGUAAUGAAUGAUGUGCAUGUAUGGCUAAAGAUGGUAUGAGAGGAAGGAGAGAAGGCUUCUCUUCACUGUCUCUGACACCACCAUCCUUCUCUCUUGUCUCUCUGUUUCUUUCAAUGUUUCCCUUAGUUUUGUUAUCUUUUUGCCUUUCAUUUCCAAGAUUUGUCACAACGUGUCUUACCUCACAACAUUUAUUUAGAUAUCUGGUAAUAACUAUUUGUCCUCUUUUUUUCACUAUCCACUGAUAAGUUUUACCAAAUUCUUGCAAGCCAGAGCCAAGAACAGAUUGAGGAGGGAAGAAGCUGGGAGUUGAAGAUCCGAGGAGGAACUGGGGAGUGGUUAUAUGAUGUCAUGAGCUUGUCUAAGCUGGCAGAUUAUUUAUACUAUAUUAGAAACAAAUUUAAAUAGAGGUCCAAAGCGACAGUGGAUGCAAAUUCAUUAAAUCAAAACAAAUAAGAUUUAAAAAAUCUUAUUAUAAAUUGGUACAUUAUAUUGAUGAAGAGCAAUGAGUUGCCCUUUGCUUGCUUCAGGUGUAGCCUGAAUUCCCAUCUGGAUGACUGUAAGUGUGGAAUUUUCUUUUUCAUGCUUCUCCUUUCAUUUUUAAAAUAUUGUUGUUGUACUACAAGUAUGCUGUGAGUGAAUAAUUCAGAUUUCAUGUGUAUGUGCUUUCAUAUUACUAUAUAAGUUUUAACUGCAACUAAAAUUAUUUGUUUGAUGAAACAAAAUUAAAAAAGAUAAUGCCAUAAUUCAAGAUCAAUAAAACUGCAGUGUCUCAAUGGAAGGAGUACUUUGAGCCUGAAUCAGUACUUCAGCAGUGUGACUCAUUUGUUGGGAAGCAUAAAGUGGCAUAAUGCUGCCCACACCACUCAUUACAAGAGAAAGAACAUUAAGAUGAGUCAAAUGCCGAACACCAUUACUGCAUUUUGCUCAAGAUAUAACACCCAAAUUUUAUAUAUAUUUUUUUAUUUAACUUCAUCAACUCAAAACCACCCAAAACAAAGAAAAUUGCUGCAAAGAAGAUUGCUAAUACUUUUUUCAAAGAGCCACCAGGUCAGUGUUGGAAGACCUCAUUCAGUGGAAAACUGUCCAUGUGUUUCUUCCAGUUGUAAUUACCUCCUAGUGUUAUUGGACUGGGCAUGUAUCGCCCAAAACUAAUCAGCCAAGGUUGGGUGUACAAUGAAACAAGAGAUUUUGAUAGUGGAAUACCAAAAAAAUAAUGAGGCUAAACUAAGGACACAUACAUGAGUGCAAUAUUCAACCAUGUGAAUUAGAUUUGUAAAUUUAUUCAACCUCUUUGCAAAUUGCCAGUUAAUGAUUUAUCCACUGUGUAGCAUGUUCCCAAUGAUAGAUUGUUACACUGAAAUAAUAGGAGUUGGCAGCAAGUCAACAAAGUUUCUAUAGUAAAUUUGAUUAUUAUGGCUCUAGGGUGGAAUUGUACAGCUGAUGGUUGAAAAUAGAGAGUAUUGAGACAUGCAGAAAUAUGAUUGCCUCUGACAUCUUCCUCAGUUUCCUACAUGAUGCAUUACUUUAUUUAUCCUCUUAAUUGUUGUGUUGAAUGAUGUGAUUGAAUGUAUAACAAAACAUUCCUCUGCAUAUCUUCCUACAUAUCUAAUGUGAUGAAGACAUUGAAUAAUCAUUUAGCAGUACAAAACUAUUGGUCUUCAGAAAAUGUUCAUGAACAUUAAUGCUUAUUUUGAAGACAACAGUUUAUACCCUGUGUGUUUUCAGUAUUGAUCAAUGUGUGUGUGUGUGUGUGUGUGUGUGUGUGUGUGUGUGUGUGUGUGUGUAGUAAGCAAUAAUUAAUGUUACAACAAGUCUAGCGGCAUUUAGUCUCUGGAUCAACUUGAGUGGUUUUUGGUUUUUAGUUUAAGGAGCUGCAUGCAUACCUCAGUGACACUUCUGUCCUUUCAUCACUAGUUCUUAUUUUCAUGUGACAUUAAUUCUUUGAUCUUUUCCAACUUAAAUUAUGUAAAUAAAAAAUGCUCCUAAGCUCUCUUCUGAACAAGAAAAUAAGCUUAAGAUUAAUCAUGGUGUGUUUCUUCUGCUUCAGAAGCUUUAAGGUUUGUUAAUGUUGUUUAUAAUCAGGAGCUUUGCUGUCUCCUCAGCAACAACCUGUGUCUUGACGUUAAGGUUCUUCUGUCAAACCUUCCUCAUUACUCGUUCGUUUUAAUGAAUUGCAUUUCAUGACUGAAAUUGAAUGCUAAGUCCUCUGUGGCUUUAUGAGAGCUACUUGAAUGUAUAAUUGGUCCUUACUUUUUAAUGUUGAAUGAAUGAAAGCUUUGAUGGCCAGUUCAUGCUUAAUAUUGACAGAGUACAAAGCAAAAUGGUAUGCACAGUCAGAGCUGGUACUAAAGCCAUAUGUCUGAUGAAUGAGAUGAAGCAAGGAGAGAACCUGUUACAAAGUUUAUGAAUUACAUCAUUGAUUAUGAGUGUGUGUAGGUCUGAUGCAGGCUUCACCUUACAUUGCCCUCAAUUCACUAACAAUAUAAAGAAUGGCUGAUUACAGAAGUGAUAGUUUGUGAUGACAGUAUAUGUGGGGCUACAAAGUUCACCCCUUAUAUAUAUCAAUAAAGACAUACUGUGAUAAUAAAGGGAUUUCACAAUUUAUGCAAGGGACACAUUCCUGCAUGAAUUGCAUGAAGUGAACAUGAUUACUGAACUAAAUUGUACACCAUUAGAGGUUCCACUGCAUAUAUAUAUAUAUAUAUAUAUAUAUAUAUAUAUAUAUAUAUAUAUAUAUAUAUAUAUAUAUAUAUUCAUGAACCAAAACUAUUUUCCCCAUAGGAAUCAACUUAAAAUUGAUUAAUUCGUUCCUGGAAGGGCUGCAUCUGAGAGAGUGACUGAGCAUCCACCCUGCUGUCCCUGCAGCACGUAUCCUAUAUGAAAGGUUUUUGUGCACUUCUCAGCUGGAAUAAACAAAGGAUAAUCAUUGCUAUAGUAACAGUGUCUAACUGACAGCAAGACUGCACACUCUAACCUUCCUGAAGUCAUUUAUCAUGCAUCACUAGCUGUCCUGAAAGUGAAGCAAUCAGCUGUGAUGACAAUAUGGCGGCCAAACAAACAUAUCACAGAAUCUCAUGAUUCCCAAGAUUUGACAUACCAGCAAAGCAUCUUGACAUCAUGUCAUUCUAAAUAAUUUACAUAGUUUGAAAAAAUUACCAGGUUUUUUACCUCAUGUUAUCUCAAAAUUACAUAAUCUGAGCAUGCAUAAAUUGAGAAAUACUUGUAUGUAUCUAGGCACCAAAUGGCAUUAAGUGUCUACAACCAGUGGGAUUAUAUUGGUGUUAGUCAUAAUGCUAGAUUGUGUUUCAUAGACCUCUUUGCAACUAGCAUGGUUGAUUGUCCUGAGGCCAAAACUAACUCCAUUAGUGCCACAUAGUUACAUGUUAGCUUGUUUAAAACUUCUCAUUGAUUUUGUCUAUUUUAUCAGUUGGGUGUGAGGUAUUGAUAAUUCUUUAAGAGGAGCAAGAUGGAGGCAAUCUUAUGUGGGGAAAGGCUUGUGUGACAAUUGUUGGUGCUGGUUAUUGCUGAUAGCCAACCAUUUCAAACACUGUCUGCUUGGUGGCUGAGUGUGUAGCUCUUAACAGCUGGGCUUACUAUAGUCACUAUCAACUACUCGAUCUUGGCUGGUCAUGGAACAAUUGGACAUUGCCUCUGUAAGAGAUGGAGUAAUGAUGAUGAUAAUUCAUAUGUAAUAACCACAAAGAUUUAGUAAGGAUGCAUUUGUUUAUCAAAUUACUGUAGGAUCACCAUAUUUACAAGUACAUCCUCAUAACUCAUCACUUCAUGUACUAUAUGAAUGAGGUGUGAUAUUUCCCUGUUGUUAUGUGCUAUUACUUCAUUCCUUUGGGAGGUUCAGCAGCAUAUAGCAACUGUCACUUUGAUAGCAUGGGCAACAUGGGCCAUUCUGAUUGUACUGUGUUAGGCACACAACUGUCUCACUUUGUGUUUUGUACCCUUCUUGUGAGAAGUAUGCCACUGCACGUACUAGCAAGACCAGAAGGAGUAAUGUAGAUGAGUCUUGUGUGAGUUGGGUAUAAGAUAACGGGCUACAUUUUUAUCAUAAUAGAUCAGGAAGGUGGUGGUACUUCACUUCCCUCAAGUAACAGCAACCAGUUACAUCUGAUAAUUUGGCAAGUGUCUACAGUAAGAUUAACAGUUACUAUUGUCAUUGACAUACUAUGUGGUACAAGUAAAGAGCAAGAGUUUUGAAAUUUAAGCCAAAUAUGUUUGCAAUGAUAGACAGCCAUUCUUAGUGCAGGUUGGUGUAACCUGCCUAAUCAGGUAUUGCCACACUCAUAUUUCUUUGCCAUGCUUUCCUGCUACCUUUUCAUUAUUGACUGUGGUUAUUAGAAGAAAUCAAUCCAUAUAUGUUUCACAUGACUCGUGAAAUAGCUCAACUGUAUUAACAUAAAGAAUGUCUUCUAAUUAAAUUAUCUGUAUGUGAGAGAAUCUCGUCUGAAUACAAGGCUGUGUCUUAUGAAAUUACAUAAUUGCAGUAUA